CAGCAGCCGCGGUAAUACGAAGGGGGCUAGCGUUGUUCGGAUUUACUGGGCGUAAAGCGCACGUAGGCGGAUCGAUCAGUCAGGGGUGAAAUCCCAGAGCUCAACUCUGGAACUACCUUUGAUACUGUCGAUCUGGAGUAUGGAAGAGGUGAGUGGAAUUCCGAGUGUAGAGGUGAAAUUCGUAGAUAUUCGGAAGAACACCAGUGGCGAAGGCGGCUCACUGGACACGUAUUGACGCUGAGGUACGAAAGCGUGGGGAGUAAACAGGAUUAGAUACCCCAGUAGUCCCUGUCUCUUAUAC
rnacentral:rRNA from 1 species